rnacentral:rRNA from 1 species
GUGGGGAAUCUUAGACAAUGGGCGCAAGCCUGAUCUAGCCAUGCCGCGUGAGCGAUGAAGGCCUUAGGGUUGUAAAGCUCUUUCGUGGGGGAAGAUAAUGACUGUACCCCAAGAAGAAGCCCCGGCUAACUCCGUGCCAGCAGCCGCGGUAAUACGGAGGGGGCUAGCGUUGUUCGGAAUUACUGGGCGUAAAGCGCACGUAGGCGGACUGGAAAGUCAGGGGUGAAAUCCCGGGGCUCAACCCACGAACUGCCUUUGAAACUCCCAGUCUUGAGUUCGAGAGAGGUGAGUGGAAUUCCGAGUGUAGAGGUGAAAUUCGUAGAUAUUCGGAGGAACACCAGUGGCGAAGGCGGCUCACUGGCUCGAUACUGACGCUGAGGUGCGAAAGCGUGGGGAGCAAACAGGAUUAGAUACCCCGGUAGUCC